rnacentral:rRNA from 1 species
GACGAACCGUGCAAACGUUGUUCGGAAUCACUGGGCUUAAAGGGCGCGUAGGCGGGCAAGCAAGUCGAAGGUGAAAUCCCACGGCUCAACCGUGGAAGUGCCCCCGAUACUGCUUGUCUUGAGGGAGAUAGGGGCGUGCGGGAACUUCCGGUGGAGCGGUGAAAUGCGUAAGAUAUCGGAAAGGAACACCGGUGGCGAAAGCGGCGCGCUGGAU